rnacentral:rRNA from 1 species
CCUACGGGAGGCAGCAGUGAGGAAUAUUGGUCAAUGGGCUUACGCCUGAACCAGCCAAGUCGCGUGAGGGAAGACUGCCCUAUGGGUUGUAAACCUCUUUUGUCAGGGAGCAACGCCGGCUACGUGUAGCCGGACUGAGAGUACCUGAAGAAAAAGCAUCGGCUAACUCCGUGCCAGCAGCCGCGGUAAUACGGGGGAUGCGAGCGUUAUCCGGAUUUAUUGGGUUUAAAGGGUGCGUAGGCGGAAUGCCAAGUCAGCGGGAAAAUCGCGGGGCUCAACCUCGCUCCGCCGUUGAAACUGGCGUUCUUGAGUGGGCGGGAGGUAUGCGGAAUGCGUGGUGUAGCGGUGAAAUGCAUAGAUAUCACGCAGAACUCCGAUUGCGAAGGCAGCAUACCGGCGCCCAACUGACGCUGAAGCACGAAAGCGUGGGUAUCGAACAGGAUUAGAUACCCUUGUAGUC